GGUUUCUGUCUGUGCCCUGGAGCUGACCCUGUGCCACAGCACUCCAUACCCAAAUUCCACUGGAAAAGAGGUGGUCUCCGAGGAGUGCUAACACACAGGCUUACAGGAGGGACAAGCCACAGUCAGAGACAGCAAGACCAGCUGACAAGAGAUAACAAGAUGGCGAGAGGCAAGUGCAAGAACAUAAGCAACAGAAACCAAGGCUGCUUAGCAUCAUCAGAACCCAGUUUUCCCACCACAGCAAGCCCCGGAUACCCAACACACCAGAAAAGCAAGACUAUGAUUUAAAAUCACAUCUCAUGAUGAUAAUAGAGGAUGUUAAGAAAGACAAAAUAUCUCCCUUAAAGAAAUACAGGAGAACACAGGUAAACAGUUAGAAGCCCUUAAAGAAAAAACACAAAAUUCCCUUAAAGAAUUACAGGAAAACACAAUCAAACGGGUGAAGGAAUUGAACAAAACCAUCCAGGAUCUAAAAAUGGAAAUAGAAACAAUAGAGAAAUCACAAAGGGAGACAACUCUGGAGAUAGAAAACCUAGGAAGGAGAUCAGGAGUUAUGGAUGCAACCAUCACCAACAUAAUAUAAGCGAUAGAAGAGGGAAUCCCAGUUGCAGAAGAUAGUAUAAAAAUCAUUGACAGAACAGUCAAAGAAAAUGCAAAAUGCAAAAACUCCUAACCCCAAAUCCAGGAAAUCCAGGACAUAAUGAGAAGACCAAACCUAAGGAUGAUAGGUAUAGGAGAGAGUGAAGAUUCCCAUCUUACAGGGCCAGUAAAUCUCUUCAGCAAAACAAUAGAAGAAAACUUCCCAGGCUGGUUAGAUGGAUCAGCAGGUAAGAGCACUAACUGCUCUUCUGAAGGUCCUGAGUUCAAAUCCCAGCAAGCACAUAGUGGCUCACAACCACCCAUAAUAAGAUCUGAUGCCCUCUUCUGGUGUGUCUGAAGACAGCUACAGUGUAGUUAUUUAUAGUAAUAAUUAAAUAUUUGGACCAGAGCGAGCAGGGACUGAGCAGAGCUGAUUGGAGUGAGCAGGGACUACCAGAGAGAGCAGGGUCUAUCGGAGCAAGCAGGGUAGACCUGAUUGAGCAGAGGUCCUAAAUUCCAUUCCCAACAACCAGAUGAAGGCUCACAACUUUCUCUAUCUGUACAGCUACAGUGUGUACUCAUAUACUUAAAAUAAAUAAAUAAAUAAAUAAAUCUUUAAAAAAUAGGAACAUGAAAAGAUAAUGUAGUAUCCUUUAAAAAAAAGGAAAUUGAGCAGAGGUGUAAAUUGAUAGGGAACUUGGGGUAACAGCCAGAAAGUCCCAGAUGCCAGGGAAGCAAGAGCCCCACAGUGAUGACAUUAGCUGAAAUACCCCACAAAGGUGAGGGAGAACCAUAUCCAGAGGUUAGGUGUGGCCCUCUAUUUAAAGAAUGGGGCCACCCAUCCAUCUCCAAAAUUUUAACCCAGAAUUCCUCCUGUCUAAAGUAAAUAUAGGGACAAAGAGUAGAACAGAGACUGAAGGAAAGGCCAUCCAGACACUGCCUCAUCUGGGUAUCCAUCCCACAUGCAGACCCAGACACUGUUGCUAAUAAGAUCCGGAUACAGUUAUCUUCUGAGAGGCUCUGCCAGAUCCUGAUCAAUACAGAUGAAGAUGCUUUCAGCCAACCAUCGGACUGAGCAAAGGGACCCCAAUGAAGGAAUUAAGGAAAGGACUGAAGGAACUAAUGGACCCUUACCUGGCAUCAAUGGGAGUGGAGGCCCUUGGUCCUGUGAAGGCUUGAUGUCCCAGUACAGAGGAAUGCUAGGGUGGUGAGGCAGGAGUGCGUAGGUGGGUAGGGGAGCAACCUCAUAGAAGCAGGUAAUGGGGGCAUGGGAUAGGGGGUUUGCAGAGGGG
rnacentral:lncRNA from 1 species